UCUAAGGAUGAUUAAAAGUAAAAUUUUAAUCUAAAUAAUAUACAGGUUAAUGUUGACCGUCCUCAUUUCUCUUCUUAAGAUAGUGUUUCUCUUCUGCAUAGGGGCCGGUAGCUCAGUUGGUUAGAGCACACCCUUGAUAAGGGUGGGGUCGAUAGUUCGAGUCUAUCUCGGCCCACCAAAACUUAACCGGGGGAUUAGCUCAGCUGGGAGAGCGCCUGAUUUGCAUUCAGGAGGUCAGCGGUUCGAUCCCGCUAUCCUCCACCAAGAAACACUUAGUUAUUUAAUUUGUGAAUAAAUUUUUAAUAUUAUCAAUAUCUAUAUCCGAUUGUUCGAAUAGAUGAACAAUCAAUGAAUGUUCGAAUAGAUGAACAUUCAAACAAAAUUUGAUUCAACACAGAAUUUUUUUCUGUGCAUAAAU
rnacentral:tRNA from 1 species